CUCAACAGUUUCCGGCUAACAGAGAGUCAAAGGUUACUAAGUAGAAUACCAGGAAGCAAAGAUUUAAUAAAACAUAUUUGUCAGAAUGUAAAGUCCCCUACUGUACUGUGAGCUGUAUGGACUGUAUCAGGUGCAAUAACCUGCUUUGAUAUUAUUUGCUGUUCUCUUCCUUUCUGACUUGAACUCUGUGUACAUACCAUUAAAGCAUUACUCUUAAGAUGUGAAUCUAGCUAUACAAAUGUAACACAAAUUGUGUGUGUUUGUGUGUGUACAGAAUGCUGAUAACCAGCUAAAACGCCUACAGAAGACUCUGAAAAACCCACUGGGCAACGCUGGGGUGCUGGCUGGAGAACUCACCAAGCAGGCCAAGAGGCAGAUUGGGGCACAGGGCUGACACUACAGGGAACCCAUAGUGGAGAACUGCCAGUGAGCAGUUGGGAGCCCUUGUUGAAGUGCUGCUCCUCGAACACGGCAGGAGGAUCCUAGUUGAGUGAAUAAGAGCGCCGUCCACGUGACCGGAUCGGUGAUGCUAUGACAGUGGAUUGGAUGUUGAUACUGUGAUGCGCAGCUUGUGCUGAAGAGACUUGCUGACAGUGCCAUUGACCUGUACGCCAUGGUGGUCGUCCUGUCUCGAUAUAAAGGUGUCCUGUUCCCUGAGUCAGGGCCAUCCCUCUCUGCCCAGCAUGAGAAGAUGUUGUGUGAGAACUGGUAUUCUGACACGGGCAGGCCCGUGAGAGGAUUAUGCAGAACAUCAAGACUGCGCUCCCGCAAUGCCGAGCAGAUCUUCAAGAACCCGAGGGCCAUCUCUACAGCCGCGGUGGAAAACGGAGGAGCGGUCAGCCCUCCGGCUCUGGGCUUCUAAAUGCCCCCUCUCAUUCCUGUCUUUAGCUCUCCCUUCUCUCUUUACUGCCUCUCCCUCCCUCCUCUUUCCAUCAACUCUCCCCCUUUCCUCUCUCUCUUUAACUACAGCCACACUCAUCGCCAGCAAGCUGAAUGUGUUAACUUGUGUUUAUAUAAUUAUUUAAGUCAAUGAGACACAGAGACUUUAACCCGUUAGGUUAUAAAAUCUUUGCCUUGGGAAACAAAUCGCAAAAUGCUGUGCAGUACCUCUUUGUGACUUGAUUUCGAGAAAGUUCUACACAUUAGCUAGAAAUUCAAAUGACUUUCAUAAUUUCUUAAGCAGGAAAUGUUUUCUGUAGAGUUAAUGUGCUGGUAAUGCCAUUCCUUCACAUCUACCAUUACUAUGGCCAAAGUGCAGCCGUUUCCUCAGCUAAAAUGCAUAUUAGCUCAAUAAACUGUAAUAGGGUCUAAUCUACCAAAAUGACUUCAACUUACAUCGAGAUAUUAUGGACAUUUUGCUACAUAGUUUCUGAUGGCCUCGCAGGAUUCUUACAUGGCUCUUAUUUGCCCCGUUCUACCCCCAGAAUGUCUGCUAGCCUUACAGGGCCCAUUUCAAUGCUGUUUAAAAAAAAAUUGAUUGCAAGGAACAGCAAUAUUUAGUAUUGUUGUCAGGUACGUACUACAUACAUUAUUAAGUGAAGAUAAUAGUUUCAACUGACUCAUUGGACAAUUGUCAGGUCUUUUUGAAACCACACACACAUUUGGCCAGUGCCUGGUCUCAUAGCAGUUGGUAGACGCCUCUAUAAUGUUCAAGGUUUGGAAGGAAAUCUCUGUCUUCUGUCUGUCUGCACCAGAAUGUAGCAUUGGAACAUUUCUGCAAAUUGAGCUGUCCUGCUAGCUUAUUGUCUCUAAGCUUGGCCAGUGCACUGCACCAUGGGGCUUAGAGGAGAUAUUGUGAUGUGUUGACAAAAUAAAUACAAUGUCUAACUGAAGUAUAGUCACUUGAACUUCCCUUUAAAAGUUGUUUGUUUGAUAAAUGUUACCCUUUGUUAUUUAUUAUGUUUCCCCACGUGUGAAACGGAAAAGAGGGCGGUCAUGAAACACCUGGAGGCAAGAGCUAGAAAAAGACAACAAAAGAUCCAGCAUGGGGUGGAACGAAUUGGAGAAGGCUGCCCAGAACAGAGUGUGAUUCGUCUAUGCCUUAUGCCACCUGGUGGUACCCAAAGUAUUCAUAACAGUAUAAUUCUGUUAGUUUGAGAGAAAGGCCAAGUACACUAAAACUUAACCUAAACAUAAAAACAUGUUGAGACAAGUCUUCAUUAAAAGCACUUUAUAGUCCAGGACUAAAACCUUGUGUAAUGUAGGUCUGAGCAGGGAAACCCCUCCAGUCCACUCAUCUGAACCUUAAUCUUAGUUUCAUUUCAUCAACAUCCUCGUUUACCGAACCUAACCAGGCAAUUACAGGAAUGAGUUGUGGUGUGUGAAGACUGAUAAUGUGUCAAAGUCAAACAUUGUCCCCUGCUUCAUCCUCUGUGAAUGUGCACUACGAAUCAUAGUUUGGUUGUGUAUUUGCAUGUAGGUUAUCUGCUGCGCCAGUAAUGAGGAACUCUUGCGGUUUGCCGUUGAGAAUUUCCCCUUGUCUGAGUGUACAGUGAGCACCAAGUCUGACAAACUGAAGUGAAGCGAGCUCAACCACAGAGCUGCUACUGCUCCAGAUCACAUGCUGUUCACAGUAUUAACUCUUGUAUUACUGGAAAUCUGUCACGGGUCUAUAUGGUAGUGAUGGGCAAUAAUGUUCAAUCUGGCUCCUGCUUGAAUUAAUUGGAAUCUUUUAAUUUCAAGUAAUAUGUAUUGUCUUGACUUUAUCUCACAAAAAAGUCAUUGCUGCUUCAAUUAUCAUUAAUGAAUCAACACUUGCAUACUAGGCUAAAUUGCACAAUGCUCAUGCAGUCAAUUCUGGUGUCUUCUGGGUUUUUGUACUAGCAGAGUAGGCGCAGGGGAGCCACACCCACCCAAUGAGAUUGAGCAAAAAUGCUCUUUACUUGUCUGUUUUCCAAACGGGACAUUAUUUGUCUUUUUACCUAAACUUGCAAACACCAUAAGAUAAAAUUCAUAGCAAGCAGUGCACUGGGUUAGUCAGAUUUGAUUAAAUAUAACAACAGAGUCACUGGAAUGACAUUCACUCUCACGGGAUGGGUUGCCAAAAAUAACUAACUGAAAGCCACACCCCCAAUAAGCCACGAAUGACUGCAUUGAGGCAUAAUGUCACUGUGCUUCUAUGGCUAUAUAUACACGAUGUCACAAGCUAUUUCAUUUGUUCAUUUAGCACACCAGACAGCUCAUAAUCCAGUGCCUUUAUCACAAUAAACACACCUAUUUUUUUGUUGUUGCUUCAAUAAGCUUUAAAAAUGCUACAUUUUCUCUCAGCCUCAUUGCAAAAUGUGUAGAAUAGAAUGAAAUGAGCUAUAAAAACUAUACAUUUUCCUCUAUUGUAGGAACAAUAUAUACACUACUGUUCAAAAGUUUGAGAUCAGUUAGAAAUGUCCUUGUAUUUGAAUGAAAAGCACAUUUUUUUGUCUAUUAAAAUAACAUCAAAUUCAUCAGAAAUAAAGUGUAGACAUUGUUAAUGUUGUAAAUGACUAUUGUAGUUGGAAAUGGCUGAUUUGUUAUGGAAUAUCUACAAAGGAGUACAGAGGCCCAUUAUCAGCAACCAUCACUCCUGUGUUCCAAUGGCUAGCUACACAACGCUGUGUACUACUCCCUUCACAGAACAGCACAAACUGUCUCUAACAAGAAUAGAAAGAAGAGUGGGAGGCCCCGGUGCACAACUGAGCAAGAGGACAAGUACAUUAGAGUGUCUAGUUUGAGAAACAGAUGCCUCACAAGUCCUCAACUGGCAGCUUCAUUAAAUAGUACCCGCAAAACACCAGUCUCAACGUCAACAGUGAAGAGGC